GAUGAACGCUGGCGGCGUGCCUAAUACAUGCAAGUCGAGCGAACAGACGAGGAGCUUGCUCCUCUGACGUUAGCGGCGGACGGGUGAGUAACACGUGGAUAACCUACCUAUAAGACUGGGAUAACUUCGGGAAACCGGAGCUAAUACCGGAUAAUAUAUUGAACCGCAUGGUUCAAUAGUUAAAGACGGUUUUGCUGUCACUUAUAGAUGGAUCCGCGCCGCAUUAGCUAGUUGGUAAGGUAACGGCUUACCAAGGCAACGAUGCGUAGCCGACCUGAGAGGGUGAUCGGCCACACUGGAACUGGGACACGGUCCAGACUCCUACGGGAGGCAGCAGUAGGGAAUCUUCCGCAAUGGGCGAAAGCCUGACGGAGCAACGCCGCGUGAGUGAUGAAGGUCUUCGGAUCGUAAAACUCUGUUAUUAGGGAAGAACAAAUGUGUAAGUAACUAUGCACGUCUUGACGGUACCUAAUCAGAAAGCCACGGCUAACUACGUG
rnacentral:rRNA from 1 species